GACGAACGCUGGCGGCGUGCUUAGCACAUGCAAGUCGAACGGAAAGGCCCUGCUUUUGUGGGGUGCUCGAGUGGCGAACGGGUGAGUAACACGUGAGUAACCUGCCCUUGACUUUGGGAUAACUUCAGGAAACUGGGGCUAAUACCGGAUAGGAGCUCCUGCUGCAUGGUGGGGGUUGGACAGUUUCGGCGGUUGGGGAUGGACUCGCGGCUUAUCAGCUUGUUGGUGGGGUAGUGGUUUACCAAGGCUUUGACGGGUAGCCGGCCUGAGAGGGUGACCGGCCACAUUGGGACUGAGAUACGGCCCAGACUCCUACGGGGGGCAGCAGUGGGGAAUAUUGCACAAUGGGCGGAAGCCUGAUGCAGCAACGCCGCGUGCGGGAUGACGGCCUUCGGGUUGUAAACCGCUUUCGCCUGUGACGAAGCGUGAGUGACGGUAAUGGGUAAAGAAGCACCGGCUAACUACGUG
rnacentral:rRNA from 1 species